rnacentral:lncRNA from 1 species
ACCUUUGAGGACAUUAACCUCAAAUGGCUCUACGUGGUCCAAACAUUCCCGACCGGCCAGGUAACACGUCGCUUCGAGCUAACCUUCCACAAGAAACACAAAGACAAAGUCCUGACCUCCUACUUGCGCCAUGUGGUCACUCGGGCUGAAGCCAUUAAAAAAGAGGAAAAGAUUCUCAAACUUCGUAGCGUUAACUCACCAUCACGAGUGGAUCUGGAGCACCCAGCCACGUUCGAGACGAUCGCCAUGGAGCCCGACCAGAAGACAAAGAUUAUCAAGGACUUGGACAGAUUUGUGAGAAGGAGGGAGUUUUAUAAGAAGGUGGGGAAGGCCUGGAAAAGAGGCUACUUGUUGUAUGGCCCUCCUGGCACUGGCAAGUCGAGCUUGAUUGCAGCCAUGGCUAAUCAUCUCAAGUUUGACGUGUAUGAAUUGGAGCUCGACGGUAUUUGCAGUGACUCUCAGUUGAAGAGAGUGUUGCUAUCCACUAAAAAUCGUUCUAUUUUGGUGAUUGAGGAUAUUGAUUGCACCGUCCGUGACAUGCAAGACCGGAAAUCGGAGCAGCCCACGGUUAGUACAUACUCUUUUUUUAUAUGUAGAUUUUUUUGGGGCAUUCACAUAGUGUUCUGUUGAUAUUUGCAGUUCACACUCUCAGGCCUGCUAAACUUCAUGGAUGGUCUGUGGUCAAGCUGCGGUGACGAGAGAAUUAUUGUGUUCACAACAAAUCACAAGGAUCGGCUUGAGCCUGCACUGUUGCGUCCUGGUCGAAUGGACGUCCACAUUCACAUGUCGUAUUGCACUCCACAUGCGUUUAGGGUCUUGGCCUCCAACUACCUUGGCAUUCAAGACUUGAAUCAUCAUGGCCUUUACGGAGAAAUCACAGGCUUGCUAGAGAGCACAGAGGUCACCCCUGCUGAGGUCUGUGAGCAACUGUUGAAGAGAGAUGAUGAUGUUGACGACGAUGAUGCUGAUGCUGCUCUUGCUGGACUUGUCAACUUUCUCAAACUCAAGAAGCUUGAAGAGACUAAUAAUAUUGAUAAACCAGAAACUCAAGAAGGAUCUCAAUGUUAAUGAUGAUGACGGUGACAACUCCUCCACCUAGCAUGAGCUAGGGCAGUAGAAUAAGUUGGUGUCAUUUGUCCCAUCUGAUUAUGAAGUAAUGUAUGGUUAUAUUCAGACUCUUCCCUUUUUUUUCUUUCUUAAUUAUAGCGUACCUACCAAAGUAGAGAAAUUAUGUGGAAAAAGACCUGCAAACAGAGACCUUGACUUUUGGUCAACAAGGAAGGCAAAGAGAAGCGACCACCAGCAUUUGAUGGAAAUUUCUGUUCUUAUACGACUUCUAACAAGUCUCGUUGACUUAGGGUCCCUUUUUGGGGUUGACACGUAAUUGUGACCAUAAGGAAAAUUCUACCAUGUUGCAUUUUCUGAAACGAAAUCCAUACCAAAUGAUCUUUCUGAACCUCUUAACUAUACCUCUGCAGAAGUCUUGGCAAUCUUGCUCUGAUCAAACAUGAUCCAAUGGUGUGCAGAGAAAAUUACAAAAGUGACAAACGUAAUAAGUUUCACUUCCCCCUGGCUCAAUUCUACUUUUUUCUUACAUCCUUAAUCAACCAAUGCAAAUAUAUUCCAUUCCUUAUCAGUUGUCCCAUUAAUAUAUUUAUGAAAUACCAUAUCAGUUUGCAAACAUUUUUAGAUUUGGUUGAGCUUGAGACAUGGUUGUUCAAGGGAAUAAGGGGAUUGAGAAUUGUUGAUUUUCAAGUAGGAGUUGGAGACGGUGUUGUUCAACCUCACAACUUAAUAAGCAUAUAUACUUCCACAAUCAACGCCACCUCACUCGAUCAACACUUGAUUUCGUUGAAUUAAACUAAUUUCUCUUGUAUUAAGAUACCAAGUUGACAACUCCUAAAUUAUCUUCUAAGUUUAUUGCCCUGCUAGCACUUGGUAUCGAUUCGAAGUUGCUAGGCUAGUUUAUUUUCCUAAAAUCGGUUCAUCAGUCUGUCAAUUCCUCACUUACUUUCUAUGUAAGUUAUUGUUUAUAAUUAAUUGAAUCGAGAAAUCUUCUGUUUAUUUGUGAAUUUUUAUUUUUAGAAAAAUUCCAUGUAUGAGGUUAAGUGCAUCUCUUAAUUAGAACAUCUAUAGUGGGGUGAUGUAUAAUAGGAUGUAUGUUAAAUAUACACCCGUUAUGAUCGGAAUUACUCGUAAUAAGGGUGUAAAUAAAUGUAUAAUUACAUCACCACCAUGAGAUGUAAAUUUAGAUGCAAUUGUACAUAUUUUUUUACAUUCCCAUUGCGGAUGGAACCCAACUGAAAAAAAAAGAGGAAAAAUAGAGAAAAGUCAGAAUAAAAAGGUGGGACCCAGCUAACAACAAUGGUGCAUGCAACGGUAUGGCUCGAUUUUGUCCUCAUCCCAUUUCUUCCUUUUUUUAAUUCAACUUGUUUCCACGGUCUCUCCCAUCUCUCUACUUUUGAUAUUUAUUUAUAAUUUCAUAUAUAUAUAUAUAUAUAUAAUUAAAUUAAUAAUUUACUUACUUUCCAACCUUAAGACGGAGACUCGGUAUAGAGAAAUUAUUGUAUGAUAUCGUAUCAUCACUUCAAUUGAUGAUACUUCCGUUUAUCUUUCAUAGAAGAUUAUAACCUUUUUUUUAAAGCAUAAUUAAAAACAUCAAUUUCACCUUUUUGAAUAAACUUUUUUAAAAAGCUUUAAUUGUUUUAGAAAAUGACAUAUUGCACAUUUUUAGAUUAAAUGUACUUUACAAUCCAACGAUUCUUUUUUAAUGAAAUUAUAUUUUCUCCAAAUUCAAAUAUUUUUAGGUCUAUUUGUUUGAAAAAAUAAAAUUAACCUAAUACAAAAAAAAAAUUAAUUUUAUAAAGUAAACACAAAAUAUAAAUUUAACACAAAAACAAAUUAAGACAAACAAAUCAAUUAUACAUCUUUAGAUUUACUUCGUUUUUUAUUGGAGAAAAAAACGUAUUUACACUUCCCGAAUGUGUAAAGGAGAUAUAAAAGUGUCUUUACACCCCCGAAAAUACACCUCCUACUGUAGAAGCUCUUAGGUAUUUGAUAAUUUUUUGAUUUUGUGUUAUGUUGACAUUUGCAGUUCACACUCUCGGGCCUACUAAACUUCAUGGAUGGUCUGUGGUCAAGUUGCGGUGAUGAAAGAAUUAUUGUGUUCACAACAAACCACAAGGAUGACGAUGAUGAUGCUGCUCUUGUAAGAGUUGUCAAGGUCACCCCUGCUGAGAUUUGUGAGGAAGUACUGAAGAAAAAUGACGAGGACGAGGACGACGAUGAUGAUGCUGCUCUCGAAAGAGUUGUCGACCUUCUCAAACUUGAGAAGCUUGAAGGGACUAAUAAUAUUGAAAAGACAGAAAUGCAAGCAGAAAAAAGGCAGGAAAAUGGAUCUCAGGUGAAUGAUGAAAGUGACAACUCAUGCAUCCAACAUGAGCUAUAGCGAUCCCCUUUUAGAUAAGUCUUUUUGUUAUUAGUACUUUUGUAGGAAAAGAAAUCUGGAUGUCAAGUACUCUAAUCCCAGUUUUGUUUGGUGUCCUGUCAGGUGUUGUCCUAUUAUCCUAUCUGAUUAUGAUGUAAUCACUUUGGUUAUAUCGAUAAAUAAAGUAAGUAAUGGUAUGGUUAGUUCAAAUUCUAUUCAAACUCUAAUAUUAUUUUCUUUCACGAAUGUGCGCUAGCAACAUAUAUACAUAAGGUGGUGUGGUGUUUUUGUUGUUAAGAGGUAGAAAGAAAAUUUACUCGCACACACACAAGUGCCUAGAAAUUUCGAAUAUGAGAUGAUUGGUCUUAAGUCAAACAUACUUUUUCACUACGGUAUGAUCCUAUUAGCUUCAUACUCUCUUGUUUCACUCUAGAGUGCAAGUGGCUACUUUUGAAAUGAAAUAAUUAACAACAGUUACUUUCUUAAUUAUAUCAUAGUUUACUUACCAAAGUGGAGAAGAUUUAUAUUUUUUGUUGUACUUCUUCAUAGGUUUUGAAUUUUGAUGCAACCAGAAGCUUUUUGUGUGUGUUGUUGCAUGUGAAUGGCGGGAAAAGAAUGGCAACUGUGUGAAAUUGAUCAAGUUAAGAUCAAUCCGGUAUGAUUGAAAACAUCAAAGCCAUCAAAUUAGUCAUGGUCUGCUCUAGGUUUCUUUAUUCAUUUUGGCCUCAAAUAUUAAAUACAUGUGUUUAAAAAGCAAUAACAAUCUAAUCAAAUAACUCACCCAACCCAACUCCUACGUUCAACGUAUAGUCCUAACACAAUCAAAUGUUUUAUUGAAUAUUUAUCCAGAGACUUACCUAUAAACUAGGUCACCUAGCACACUAAAAAAAAAAACCACGUACAGUAAAAAAAAGAUAUCUAGCAUAAGGAGAAAUUCGACCAAAACAAAAAAAAAUAGCAUAAGGAGAAAAAAGAGGGACUAUUGUCAACUAAACGACAAUAACCUACACAAAACACAAUGCACGCGGUUUUGACUGGUGGUGUACAAGUAGACUUCUUUGUCGAUCUUGCCAUGUGCAAUUGUCUGUGGCUGUGGUUUCACUAGUACUGUAUAUGAAUUUACCCCCCAAGUAACAAACCUCAAAUAUAUAUCCCCAAAUUUGAUUAAAAAAUCCCCCAACAAGAACAUCUCCUUCUUCUUCUUCUUCUUCUUCUUCUUCUUCUCAACCUCUGCCUUGCUUACCUUGCAUCCAUCCAUCCGCCAUGAAUUUCAUCGUGGAGGAACUCAUGCUUUUCAUUUCCACUGCCCUCAAUUACCUUGCUACCCUUUUCUCCCCUGGCCAUUAUCAUCAUGACCUCACUUUCAUCAUCCGCCAGAAGAGCACGCCACCCAACCAAGUCUACGACGCCGCCGAGCUCUACCUCCCAUCCAUCGAGUUGAUCAAUCCCUCCACUCGUACUAUCGGCGUCAGCAAAACACCGCGGCAAGAAGCCGUCAAGCUUGCCAUGGAAAGCGGUGAGCAGAUCGCCGACACCUUUGAGGACAUUAACCUCAACUGGCUCUACGUGGUCCAAACAUUCCCGAGCGGCCAGGUAACACGUCGCUUCGAGCUAACCUUCCACAAGAAACACAAAGACAAAGUCCUGACCUCCUACUUGCGCCAUGUGGUUACUCGGGCUGAAGCCAUUAAAAAAGAGGAAAAGAUUCUCAAACUUCGUAGCGUUAACUCACCAUCACGAGUGGAUCUGGAGCACCCAGCCACGUUCGAGACGAUCGCCAUGGGGCCCGACCAGAAGACAAAGAUUAUAAAGGACUUGGACAGGUUUGUGAGGAGGAGGGAGUUUUAUAAGAAGGUGGGCAAGGCUUGGAAAAGAGGCUACUUAUUGUAUGGCCCUC